rnacentral:rRNA from 1 species
GUGGGGAAUCUUGCGCAAUGGGCGAAAGCCUGACGCAGCCAUGCCGCGUGGAUGAUGAAGGUCUUAGGAUUGUAAAAUUCUUUCACCGGGGACGAUAAUGACGGUACCCGGAGAAGAAGCCCCGGCUAACUUCGUGCCAGCAGCCGCGGUAAUACGAAGGGGGCUAGCGUUGCUCGGAAUUACUGGGCGUAAAGGGCGCGUAGGCGGAUCGUUAAGUCAGGGGUGAAAUCCCAGAGCUCAACUCUGGAACUGCCCUUGAUACUGGCGAUCUUGAGUGUGAGAGAGGUAUGUGGAACUCCGAGUGUAGAGGUGAAAUUCGUAGAUAUUCGGAAGAACACCAGUGGCGAAGGCGACAUACUGGCUCAUUACUGACGCUGAGGCGCGAAAGCGUGGGGAGCAAACAGGAUUAGAAACCCCGGUAGUCC